rnacentral:rRNA from 1 species
CCGCGGUAAUACGGAGGGUGCGAGCGUUAUCCGGAAUCACUGGGUUUAAAGGGUGCNAGGCGGCCUGAUAAGUCAGAGGUGAAGUCUGCGGCUUAACCGUAGAAUUGCCUUUGAUACUGUUGGGCUUGAGUCAGGUUGAGGUUGGCGGAAUGUGACAUGUAGCGGUGAAAUGCAUAGAUAUGUCAUAGAACACCGAUUGCGAAGGCAGCUGACUGGACCUGAACUGACGCUGAGGCACGAAAGCGUGGGGAGCGAACAGGAUUAGAUACCCUGGUAGUCCACGCCCUAAACGAUGCUCACUCGAUAUGCGAUCCGUAGGGUUGCGUGUCCAAGCGAAAGCGUUAAGUGAGCCACCUGGGGAGUACGUCGGCAACGAUGAAACUCAAAGGAAUUGACGGGGGUCCGCACAAGCGGCGGAGCAUGUGGUUUAAUUCGAUGAUACGCGAGGAACCUUACCUGGGCUAGAAUGCGAGUGACCGGCCCUGAAAGGGGCUUUUUCCUUCGGGACACAAAGCAAGGUGCUGCAUGGCUGUCGUCAGCUCGUGCCGUGAGGUGUUGGGUUAAGUCCCGCAACGAGCGCAACCCUUGUCCUUAGUUGCCAGCACUUCGGGUGGGGACUCUAAGGAGACUGCCGGCGCAAGCCGCGAGGAAGGUGGGGAUGACGUCAAGUCAUCAUGGCCUUUAUGCCCAGGGCUACACACGUGCUACAAUGGCCAGUACAGAGGGUAGCGAAGCCGCGAGGUGAAGCCAAUCCCAGAAAGCUGGUCCCAGUUCGGAUUGAAGUCUGGAACUCGACUCCAUGAAGGUGGAAUCGCUAGUAAUCGCGCAUCAGCCAUGGCGCGGUGAAUA